rnacentral:rRNA from 1 species
GCAAGAGCUCAAAUUUGAAAUCUGGUACCUUUGGUGCCCGAGUUGUAAUUUGUAGAGCAGUACUUUUGUUAUGGGCUUUGCCUAUGUUCCUUGGAACAGGACGUCAUGGAGGGUGAUAAUCCCGUAUGGCGAGGUGACCGUAGCUAUGUGAGUAUUGUUCGACGAGUCGAGUUGUUUGGGAAUGCAGCUCUAAGUGGGUGGUAUACUCCAUCUAAAGCUAAAUAUCAGCGAGAGACCGAUAGCGAACAAGUACAGUGAUGGAAAGAUGAAAAGAACUUUGAAAAGAGAGUGAAAAAGUACGUGAAAUUGUUGAAAGGGAAGGGCAUUUGAUCAGACAUGGUAGGUAGUGCCCUGUGCUCCUUGUGGGUGCGGGAAUUUCGCUGCUUACUGGGCCAGCAUGAGUUUUGGGGCCUCGAC